CAGCAGCCGCGGUAAUACGUAGGUGGCAAGCGUUGUCCGGAAUUAUUGGGCGUAAAGGGCUCGCAGGCGGUUUCUUAAGUCUGAUGUGAAAGCCCCCGGCUCAACCGGGGAGGGUCAUUGGAAACUGGGAAACUUGAGUGCAGAAGAGGAGAGUGGAAUUCCACGUGCAGCGGUGAAAUGCGUAGAGAUGUGGAGGAACACCAGUGGCGAAGGCGACUCUCUGGUCUGUAACUGACGCUGAGGAGCGAAAGCGUGGGGAGCGAACAGGAUUAGAUACCCGAGUAGUCCCUGUCUCUUAUAC
rnacentral:rRNA from 1 species